CUCGAGGAGACCCUUCUUGGCCGUUUCCAUCUCCUCUUCAGUCCAGCGAGAGCUUUCAUUCAUUUCCAGAGAGGCCAGCUCGGCGCUCUGCUGCGGCGUGGCCGCCUCCUCGCUGUUGGCUUCGUUGGCCAUGGAGCGCGUGAUGCGGCCCUUGCGCCGGCCCUGGCUGUUGGCGGUUUUGCGGCCUUUGGAGGUGACGGUUUCCUUCUCAUCGUUGUCUUCCCCGGACGUGUCGUCGUUCUUGUCCCUGCAAAAGCAGGGGGAGAAGAAAUCAUCGUUGGGUCGGCAACGUUUUUAGGUCAAACGACUGUCUCCCUGCACGUGUUCGGGGUGCUUUUGGAGGGGCGGGGCGGCGUUUUUUGCACACGCAGACCCUCUUCCUGCCUAAUUUGGGGUUGUGGGUGGGGGGGUCGUUCUGCAGCUGGCUGCAGCUCCACCACCGCGUGCACGCAGGGACCUGACAGAGACAGG
rnacentral:lncRNA from 1 species